GUAAGUGUGAAGCUCUUCUACUCACAUCAUUACAUAAACCUCCACCACCCUCUGCACCCAGAACCUAUGCUGUCAGGGGUCAUGUGCCUGCCUGAUCUGAACUUGAUUGGGCCUCUGUGUUAAUCACAGCUUGUCCAUAACAAACACCAUGUUUGAGCAUAAGGGUGUUCGUGAGUGGACAUUUGGCCAGGACAUGCCAACUCAGGUGAAUGUUGUAGUUGUUUCAGAUCUGUGGCAUCUGACAGAGACUAAUCAGUCACAUCGUCUUUUUCUCCAGAAGAACGUUAAGAGCUUUCUGAGGGACGUUAGAGACACUGAGCUGACAGGUACCGGCAGGCCAAGCAAAGUGCAGCUCCUGCUGUAACCACAGCAACAGCUCAGGUGUGGGAAGAGUUCCACUCACACUGUGUACAAUGAAGAUGCUGACUUCAGCUGAGGCCUCAGUCAGGUGAUGGUAGGAUCAUGGAUGAAGACAACUCCAGGACUGUGAUGAAUGUUUCCGACAAGGCCUUCGGCUUUCUAAACAGCGCCCCCUAUAGUCACACCAAUGAAGUCAUCUACUCUGUACCUCGGGAAGCCCACUAUGAGAAUUGGACUCCAACUUGUGCAAUGUAAAGGCUCAACCUACCAGAAC
ensembl:lncRNA